UACGGGGGGGGCAAGCGUUGUUCGGAAUUACUGGGCGUAAAGGGCUCGUAGGCGGCCAACUAAGUCAGACGUGAAAUCCCUCAGCUUAACUGGGGAACUGCGUCUGAUACUGGAUGGCUUGAGUUCGGGAGAGGGAUGCGGAAUUCCAGGUGUAGCGGUGAAAUGCGUAGAUAUCUGGAGGAACACCGGUGGCGAAGGCGGCAUCCUGGACCGAUACUGACGCUGAGGAGCGAAAGCCAGGGGAGCAAACGGG
rnacentral:rRNA from 1 species